rnacentral:lncRNA from 1 species
AACAAGUAAAGAAUCAAACAUCACACAAAAUGAAUCAAUUCGAAACAACAGACAAUCAUAAGAUGUUAUCACAUAAGCAGCAAGUAAAAGAAAACCAAACAAAAAGAUCAAACAUAUACACUGAUUUCGGAUAAACAAUAAAUCAAACAAAUUGAAACAAGGACAAAAGAAAUGAAACUUGAACCAACUGACCGUAUCGAAACAAUAACGAACUCGAACGACAAACGACGACUUUGACGAACCUCAAGCUGGACCUUACCGAGCGACGAACAAUAUGAAUAUGUCGAAGAAGAAAACAACGCUGUAGUGGGGUGGUUGCUCAGACAAAGCAGCAUCGUGGUUUUGAUCUGCUGCUCGUGUUGAGGACGAAGAAGACGAAGCAGUAGCAGCUGGAAUGCUCGACGAUGGAGCAGGUCUGGUCGUUCAUGGCUGACUGUUGGUGAAGUAGUGGUGUUUGGACGCGGGCUGGAGGCUCGGAGAUGGUUCAGCUGGUGACUACACGGGUUGGGAGGUAGCUGGUCGUUGACGUGAGGGCAGGAGGUUCAGGCGACUGGAAAGGGCCGUCAAGUUUGCUGGUUGACUAGCGGGAAAGGGUGGUCGACGCGGAGCAGUGGUGAAGCAGCUACGAAGGUCGAUGGGAAAAAAUGGAGGUCGUUUCGGUGUGGCAGCUGGGGGGUCUCUUAGGGUUUGGGAGGGUGGUUUGGAG